AGAUUUAACUGAGUUCCUGUAAUCUAAUGUGGCUAAAAGAAAAGUUUGGCCUACAUCUCUAUCAUCAGUCCAAACAGCUUUACAUACAAGCUGGGACUGAGACGAGGAUUUGUUGAGAUUAUUUCCUGGAAAAUUUGCUGAAUCAACAUAGAGCACUAAAGAUAACUUCAUUGUAAAAAAAAUGAAAAUAAAUUGUACAGCAAAUGA